GAGGAUAUAGCUCAGCAGUAGAGCACUUGCUUAGUAAGCAUGAGGUCCUGGGUUCAAUCCCCAGCACCUCCA
rnacentral:tRNA from 1 species